ACGUUCGUGGUGUAGCGGUCAGCACGCUGGGCGCCUGUUCCAGAAGUCCGUGGUUCGAUUCCCGGCGAAGGCG
rnacentral:tRNA from 1 species